rnacentral:lncRNA from 1 species
GCGUCACCAGCAAGUGAGGCCGUGAGGCGUCUGGAGUAACCAUUCUCUCAUCCCACCACUCGCUGACUCAUGAGUUGCCAGGGCUAACUUGGAGCUACCCGUGUCUCACAUCCAGCGUUUGUGGUGCCUAGGCAUCUGCUCUCUCUGGUGUGUCUACGCGACCGGUAGUGCCUUAUUACCCAGCCUCACCGAUUCUUGAUGCCUCCAAAGCCUACCUACCAAGAAUGCCCAUGCAUGUAGAGUGAGUGC